rnacentral:misc_RNA from 1 species
GAUGAAGAACGUAGCGAAAUGCGAUACUUGGUGUGAAUUGCAGAAUCCCGUGAACCAUCGAGUCUUUGAACGCAAGUUGCGCCCGAAGCCAUCAGGUUGAGGGCACGUCUGCCUGGGCGUCACAUAUCGUUGCCCAAUGCCUAUUGCAGUGCAAUAGGAAUUUCUAGGGCGAAUGAUGGCUUCCCGUGAGCGUUGUUGCCUCGCGGUUGGUUGAAAAUCGAGUCCUUGGUAGGGUGUGCCAUGGUAGAUGGUGGUCGAGUUAGAACGAUACCGAUCAUGUGCAUGCUCCCCAAAAUAUGGCCUCUAUGACCCACACGCGUCUUUUGACGCUCAUGACGAGACCUCAGGUCAGUCGGGGCUACCCGCUGAAUUUAAGCAUAUCAAUAAGCGGAGUA